UACGAAGGGCGCUAGCGUUGUUCGGAAUCACUGGGCGUAAAGCGCGCGUAGGCGGCUUUGCAAGUCAGGGGUGAAAUCCCACAGCUUAACUGUGGAACUGCCUUUGAAACUGCAAAGCUGGAAUGUGAGAUGGGAUGGCGGAAUUCCUAAUGUAGAGGUGAAAUUCGUAGAUAUCAAGCGGAACAUCGGUGGCGAAGGCGGCCUUCUGGACAGUGACUGACGCUGAGACGCGAAAGCGUGGGGAGCAAACAGG
rnacentral:rRNA from 1 species